AGCACCAAAGAAUCUUUCCCUGAAGAGCUGAUUUCAUUUGAGUAUGGCACCUGGUUGCUGGGGUCAAGUUACAGGCACCAGGGACCAAAGCACUUUCUUUUGAUGAAACCCAAUGGUCCAUGUCUAAAGAAUACUGUGGAGAAAUGAAGAGACCUUCGCAACGGUGAAAAACUCACUUCAAGGAGAGGCAAAUGCACACCCUUCUGAACUGGUCAAGACAGAAACCCCGACAACAAGUAGGCCCUCCUGUUACAGCAGGUGGCACAGAUGAAGUGGGAGGAUGCCUGGUCACAUGGAGUCCUGAGAACCAUUCAACAGAGUUCGUGUCUUCAUCCUGAGAGCAAUAGGAGACCUUGGGAGAGUUCUAUGACCAGAGGUCUCAUAGUAAAACAAGCUUAAAAGACUGGUUCUGCCAACUGCUUGGGAAAAAAGCUGUGCUGUUGUCCCUAAAGGCGCGGGAGCGCCUGGAAGCUUGUUUAGAAGAGGAAGUGAAACCGAAGAGACUCACUGAGAGCCCUCUUUCUUAGAGGCAAGGCAGUUUGAAUAUGAGCACAUCUCUCAUCCUGUCUCAUUAACUGCCUUCAUCACCAACCGGAACACACAGGCAGCCUGGAAGAAAACAGAAGAGAAAGCCAAGAUGCCAGUCUGAACAGUAAAAUCGUAGCUGUCUGUCUAACCUGUGGCUACAAGGCCCUUUGGUAAAGGCUACAGCCUCGUUGGGCUCAGAGUAGCUAUGAAUCAGGCUCAACACAAUAUAAGUGUGUAUGUACAUAGUUAUAUGUGAUUGUACAAUCUCGAGUGUGAACUUUGGAGAUGAUAACCGCAGUGUGCAAAGUCCAAAGGUUGGAUUCCUGGGCAGCGAAGACAUUCCUUAGGGAUGAAAGGCUUGUCUCCCAUAGGAAAGCGAAUCCAGAAGCAACAAGGCGGUUUGGAAGUGGGGAGAGGAAAAGAGAAAGAGAGAGGAUGUCUUGGGGAAGAGUUACUAGAAAUGAGAGUGGCUCAGGCAUCUGAGCUGGGCGUGGGUCCCUGCCACUAUCGGGCCUGCUCCUCAGCUAGCACCGCCAGACUUGGGGUAGUAGAGGAAGCCUCACGUCAUUCAUACUGAAAUCCCAAAACCGAGUGCUAAGGAGUCUAGAGAAUCUGAGGUCCUAGCCAAGAACACACCCUAACUCCCUCCACCUGCUAGGGCCAAAGCAGGCAGCCCCAGAGAGUCUGCGUCAGCGAUUGUUCCAGAAAGCGAAUAUCCAAGCGUGGUGAAUGAAACAUGGUUUUAUAGUCGUAGAGAGAGCCUCAGAAACCUUAAUAUGGGGUCAGACUGACAAUAUCUAGUGCCACCAGUGGCGGCUGGCGCAGCACUUGGCAUUCUGGAGCGCCUAGAGUGUCAGUAACUGAGCCAAAAGACCCAAACUGCCCUGCUCGGUGAGGCAGUCCAGGAGGAUCUUGAAGAGGUUAAAUAUGUCGCGUUGGCAGUUUGAGUGUCCGGAAAGCUCUUCCUCAGACCGAGAGUGGCAGCGCCCUUCCCGCUUCGGGAGCCUGUUUGAGAACCUCUUCCUUCUAAAGAGGCCCUCAGGGACCCGGGCCACUCCCUCCACUCGCUCCUUCCAGUGUUCUGCGUGUCCCUGUCUCAGUGAUAACAGUUCGUCAACGUUUUCUUGUUUAUAUAUGUAUACUUUCUUUGGUUUAUUGUCUGCUUCCUUUCUAAAAUGUAGGUUCUGAGAGGACAGAAACCUUGUGUGCCUUUACCGCAGGUGCAGGAUCGCAUCUGCUUCGGGCAUUCAUCAUCCCCUGCCCACCGCGCCACCUGAGGCGCUGGACUCAUGUGCGGUCUGCAAAUUGACCUCUAAUUAUCAGUGGCUGGCAUCCAAGCCAGGAUUCUAGCAAGUGGGCCGUGAAGUCGGAUGGGUCUGGCCGUCUAGCCAGAGGCUCCUCCGUUUUAAUCGCCAACUACAUUGCACUUUGUACGGGGACUGGAAGAACAAAAUAACCCUUCUGCCCUCACUGUGCACCCGCAUCAAUCUACCCAACUGCUUCUGGAGGCUGCGCCCCAGUGUCGGAACCUAGUCUCCCACACCAAUUCUUCUCCUUAGACAUCAUGUGCCUACACCCCUCGGCUCACCACUUAUUUCUCUUAUUUAACCUCACGCUUUUCAAUGGUCAAGUGAUCCUGCCUG